GAUGAACGCUGGCGGCGUGCUUAACACAUGCAAGUCGAACGAAGCAUUUGCGACAGAUUUUUUCGGAAUGAAGUUGCUUAUGACUGAGUGGCGGACGGGUGAGUAACGCGUGGGUAACCUGCCUUGUACUGGGGGAUAGCAGCUGGAAACGGCUGGUAAUACCGCAUAAGCGCACAAUGUUGCAUGACAUGGUGGGAAAAACUCCGGUGGUAUAAGAUGGACCCGCGUCUGAUUAGCUAGUUGGUGAGAUAACAGCCCACCAAGGCGACGAUCAGUAGCCGACCUGAGAGGGUGACCGGCCACAUUGGGACUGAGACACGGCCCAGACUCCUACGGGAGGCAGCAGUGGAGAAUAUUGCACAAUGGAGGAAACUCUGAUGCAGCGACGCCGCGUGAGUGAAGAAGUAAUUCGUUAUGUACAGCUCUAUCAGCAGGGAAGAUAGUGACGGUACCUGACUAAGAAGCUCCGGCUAAAUACGUG
rnacentral:rRNA from 1 species